rnacentral:rRNA from 1 species
GACGUAGGGCGCGAGCGUUGUCCGGAUUUAUUGGGCGUAAAGAGCUCGUAGGCGGUGUGUCGCGUCGGCCGUGAAAACCUGGGGCUUAACUCUGGGCGUGCGGUCGAUACGGGCAUCACUGGAGUUCGGCAGGGGAGACUGGAAUUCCUGGUGUAGCGGUGAAAUGCGCAGAUAUCAGGAGGAACACCCGUGGCGAAGGCGGCUCUCUGGGACGGUACUGACGCUGAGACGCGAAAGCGUGGGGAGCGAACAGG